GAUGAACGCUGGCGGCGUGCUUAACACAUGCAAGUCGAACGAUGAAGCCCAGCUUGCUGGGUGGAUUAGUGGCGAACGGGUGAGUAACACGUGAGUAACCUGCCCUUGACUCUGGGAUAAGCCUGGGAAACUGGGUCUAAUACUGGAUAUGACUUCUCAUCGCAUGGUGGGGGGUGGAAAGAUUUAUUGGUCUUGGAUGGACUCGCGGCCUAUCAGCUUGUUGGUGAGGUAAUGGCUCACCAAGGCGACGACGGGUAGCCGGCCUGGGAGGGUGACCGGCCACACUGGGACUGAGACACGGCCCAGACUCCUACGGGAGGCAGCAGUGGGGAAUAUUGCACAAUGGGCGCAAGCCUGAUGCAGCGACGCCGCGUGAGGGAUGACGGCCUUCGGGUUGUAAACCUCUUUCAGUAGGGAAGAAGCGAGAGUGACGGUACCUGCAGAAGAAGCGCCGGCUAACUACGUG
rnacentral:rRNA from 1 species